CUCGGCUUAGUCUCCUUCAAGACCCACCCCUCCCUGAAAAGAACCAGUAGAACACUGCUCCAAGACCACAUUUUCUUCACAAGAACAGUCACGCAUAUACUCACGGGAGAGACAGAAAAUCGGGACAAAAGGAGAGGAGAAAAGUUCUAGAGGGAUUUCGAUUGAGGUUUGGUUCUGAGUUCGUUCGUCGAUAGGAGAUUUCCGUUGCCAAGUCGAGUUUUGCCAACCGGUUCGCGAUCUCAGCUGCAUUUUGUUGCUUUAUUGUUGAUUUCCUUCAACUUUUCUCCAUUGUAUUCAUUUGGGGAGCAUUCGAGCUAAUUGAAAGUCCAUUUGAGUAAGUGUUUUAGGAUACGCUUAGAGUGUUUCAAUAUGGUAGGAUUAUAUGUUCCUCGUUGAUUUCCAUCUGGUUUUGAGUGUGAUUUUUUGUAUCAUGGACAUAUAUAUACUUGGGUCUUAAGUGGAAUACGCUAAUUUGUUUCUUUUAAGUAUGAGCAUGAAGCGGGUUUAAUUGUUCUCUCUAUGUGAUUUUCAAUCCACGGUUUAAUUUGGUCAACUUAAGGUUGAUGGAUUGUUCUUAUUAUUUUCAAGAUUAGUUUAAUCUUCAAAGAUUUAAUUUCAUGUUUAGUGUAGUUAAAUAUACAUUUAUAUAUAUUGCUUUAGGAUCUUCAUGUUAGGGUAUCACGAGAUUAGUGCUCUUUGUCAAAGUUCAUAUGCCCAUUUUCCCUUUAUUGCUUGAUAGCUCCAUCCUGAUAAUUGCUUGGAUUGGUUUUCUUGUUUGAUCAAUUGGUAGUACUGGUUAGCUUUCUUGGAAUGUAUAUUUGGAUUAAUAAGUGCAUUUUCAAAAAUUGGCAAAUGUUGAAGGAGGAGAAAAGUUACUGAAUUCUUAUUAUUUUCCGUUUUGGUUGUACCCUGGGGCUACAUAACAUGGUCCAAAUUUCCUCCUUGGUUUGAAGCCUGAUCAUGCUUAAUUUCAUUUCUGAUUCGUUGGUGUUGAUCUGUUAUGCUUUCUUCAUUUUACUAGUAGUAUCAAAAUUUUGGGCAAAGUAUACUGAGUUUGAGUUUUUAAUUGGUUACUAGAUACUGCUGAUUUCUGUAAGCUCUUGUUGAAAAAUUCUUUGCAAGCUUGUAAUCACAUUGAAGGUUGUCGAUUAAGCAUAGACUAGAAUAACUUCUGGUUCUGAGUGUAAUUUUGGUUUCAAGUCUGCAUUUUGUUGAGAAGCUGAGCGUAGAGAGUGUUGAACUAAGUUUGGGAGAUUUAGUUGUCUAAAAGGAUUCAAAUUCCAACUGUGGUUGAAAGUAAUUAGAAAGUCUUUAAAGAUAGCCUAAGAAUUGUUUAAUAAAAGGGAUUAUCUACCUAACCAACUAAAGAAGCUUCUAGUAGUGGUAGGGUUCAGAUUUCAUUAUUGAAAUUUAAUUCAAUAAGGUUUGAGUGGAAUACUCUUUUAAAAUAUUGAAACUGCAUUUUGUGAAUGAAAGGGCAUUCUCCAUUGCCUAUUUAAGGAGUUCAUAGAUAGAGAAAAAAAGGACGGAGAUAGAAACACAAGAGAGAGUCAAAAGAGACAUCAGAGAGAACAAUAUAGAGAGGAAAGAGUCCAAAGAGGGAAAGAAAAAAAGAGAGCUGAAAACAAGUUCUAAAAUUCAAAAAAUGAGAUUCCGUAUCUGAAAAUCAUAAGCCAAGAAAAAUAGAAAGAAAACUGGAAUUUCCGAUGAAGAUUUGAAGAGAAAUAAUUUGAAAAUUCGAUUUCUUUCUUUCUGGGCUUCGAAAAGUUGUUCUUGAGCUGUGGAAUAGCUGUAUUGUCGCUGUUGUUGCUGGCAACCGUACUGAGCUCUGUUUGGUUUCGAUUUCGCCUUUAUUUGCCCAACUUGUUGGUGAUUUCACUGUUCAGCUAGGUCAGUUCUUAAAUUCCUUGUAUUAUGUUUUCGUUGAAUGAUUGACGAUUGGGCGAAUUCCAAUUAACUAUUUUAUAUAUGCCAAAGUUAAGAAUUCUGUUACUUUAAUGUGCCAUGAAUGUAUAUUUUUAAUUUGAUUGAAACGUUUAAAUGACUCAAAAUGAGAUGUUUUAUGUGAAUUACGCAUUUCAUGCUCUCAAUUAGGACAUUGUUGUUAGUUGUGAGUUUUUGAUUGGUUGGAUUUGUAACGUCAAAGCUAAGAGAUAUGCUCUAGGAGUAGUUCAUAUGUUGCUGGUAAGUUAUUGUAUGCAAAUUUGUAUUUAACUGACUCUCAACGAUUUCAAACAUCAUUUCUAUCCUAGUUCAGUUAGAUAGUCCGUCACUGGCGGAUUGAUUUUGAAUUGAGUUUCGUCCGUAGGAACAGCUUCGCAUUUUAGUCUUGAAAUAUUCUGUCAGGUUCAAAGCGAUCCAUAGUUGCUGCAAAUUAGCUCCAAGACAGAUGCGUUACUGCUGAAAAUCAGCCAUGAAAACUCCAUUUUUCCGCCACGGAAUCCAAUUCUUAAAGCUACCUUAAACCACUCCAAAAUCUAGCCAUAACAAGCAGUAAAACGCAGCAAAACCCGCUGCAAGGCUGCCGAAAAAUAGCUCCAAAGCAGGCCCAAAUCAGCGCCCCAGAAAUGCUGAAAGCAGAUCGCCAAAAUACCCCCAAAAUAGCCCAGUAACGACCUAAAAUACAACCCUGCUUCUUGGUGAAAAUUAGCUACAAAACAGCCCCCAAACUACUCAAUAACGAGCUCAUAUCCACUCCAAAAAUGCAGCAACACCAGCUGCGAAGAUCAGUUGCAAAUCAGUCCAAAUACUACAUCAAAUUCCACCCUAAAAUAGCAGCAAAAACAACUACAACACAGCCUCCCCCCCCCCCCCCAGGACCACCCGUUAACCACCUAUUGUGGCCAUUUAAUACCACCAAUAACUUAACUCAAUCCAAGUUCUUAAUCUUUUAAGUUUUGGUUUGUUCUAGGUUUUGGUUCAAGGUCGUUGUUAAGUUUGUGGUUGACCGAUUCUGUUCUAUUAGAAGUUCCAUGUUUCGCCUUUU
rnacentral:lncRNA from 1 species